GAAGGUCCUCGAGAUCCAUUGAGAACGACACGAUCUGGGUUUCCAAGUCUAAUGAGAUUCUUCUGGAUCUCUGGAAACCAGUUGUCAGGUACGAGUUUUCUUAUCUCGUGACGACUUCAGGUCGUUGGAAAUUUCAAUUCGCACCAGAAUUCGGUGGGGCGCUUCUGGCGCGGUGGGAGAAAUGAAAAAUGGACAUACCUUUGCUUGUUUUGCUGCACCUUUGUUUGUCUGUAAGAUCUCUCCAUCUUUCUUGUCCACGAGAGAAAAAUAUAUUGCAGGUCUAGCAGGGAUAAGGAUUAGCACAUCAAUAGUUAUAGUGAUAAAAGAAAGGUUGAUGGAUUUUUGGGACAAUAUGAUCUUCCCUGUUUGUCGUGUCUGGCUUGCCGUCUCUACUCUGUGUUUAUCCGAAUUUAUGGCGUUAUGCUUUCCACUGACAUGAGAGCUUCUCGUGCUGAUAACGUGUUGUAAAAUCGACUGUGGGUGCAGUGGAAUAAAUGAAACAAGACACAAAAUUUACGAGGUUCCUCUACAGUCAGUGUGACUGGAGUACGUCCUCGGGGCAGCAAAGGUGCUUUCAUUAUAAUUUAGAAUAAUAGGAGUACAAAGAUAACUCUCUCUAUUAUCUCCUCUCAUCUUCCUCUAUUCUCUCUCUUCCUCUUCCUUCCUUCCUCUCUUUCUUUCCCGUGAACUCAUCACAUUCAUCUAUCUAUUCUUCCUUUAUAUAAACAAAAGAAAACACUAUUCACUUUACAAAUUUUCCACAAAUAAAUAGUGAAAAUACUGUGCAUAAAUAGUAACAAACUAUUCAUGUGGGCCAUCCACGUAUUAUCACAACAUAUUUGGGUUAUUAAUGUUUUUUAAUAUUUUAAUAUAAGUCAGUUUGACCACCUGAGGCAGAGGCAGAGAGAAAAAGUACAAGGAAGGGAGGCAGCGUGUGCGGAAUUUCACUUCCAUCUGCCCGUAUCACAUCACAGUUGAGGUCGGUUUCUAAUUGCCACAUCCUUUCCCACUCACCGUCUUCCGUCGCCCGACACGUGUCCCCAACCAAAACUACGCCCCCGCCUGCCGUUUUGCUUCAAAACUGCGCGAAAGCUCUCCCGAACUCCUCCAAACCCAUAAAGAGGAAGAAUCGCAGAAUUUAUAGGCUCUCUCUCGCUCUCGUCAAAGGAUCAAUCUUUUAUUCGAUGCCUUAUGCUCGAAGAUAAUCUCAUUCAAUUACCAUUUUAUCCACGCU
rnacentral:lncRNA from 1 species